UCGUGUUAGGGAUUGAAACGGCAUCCUUUUUAUGGUAAAAAAACAGAACUCUUUAUUAUAAUAUAAAGUAUUAUGGUGUGAAUAAACCUUUUUACAAGCUAUUUUGCAUAAAAAGAUAUAGUGGAAAGCCCGACCUUUU
rnacentral:sRNA from 1 species